AGAACCUUCUUGAGCACACAGAGAACCCCCAGGACCCACAACAUUUUCUCCACUGUUGGUGCAAGAGAAAAACUUACACAAGUGCUCAAAGGUAGAGGUACCAUGAUGUUGCCUACAGCAUUAUUUGUAACAUCUAAGUGUCCCAUCAAUAAAGACAUCAAUAGCACAACAGACUACAGUGGAUAUGCUACGUGGUAGCUACACAGAAUGUGCCGGUAGAGCAUGGCUGCAACGUCUGUCCUAUUCACUCCUGCACCCGGUGUGGAGCCUGGCAAAUGACAGCCUGGAUUCAUGAAAAAGUAAAUGGAAUGAACACACCACUGUGCCAACUUUAGAAGAGACAAGAUUUUUAUAUACUGACAUGGAAAGAUGUCGAGGUAUAUUGCUGCAUGAAAAAACACCAAAUCAGUGAGCGGCACGUGGAAAGCUGAAUUUCCUGACCCCCCUGUGGGGCCACAGGUCUAGUAUGGCCAAGGAGUUGUGAGCAUACAUGACAUAUGUCACUUCCAGGCCACAGCAUUUACAUACCAGCAUGUACUUCAGAGCAAUCUUCCCUCUCCCGAGUUUUCUUGAAAGUAUUUCUUGCGAUCAAGCCUCCGGCCACUUGGAUUCUGGGAUGACUAUGAAGAGCAGAUCCCCUGGUCAAUAUCAUAUAGCAUGAGAAUGAGAAAUAAACUUCUGUUGUGGUCA